rnacentral:rRNA from 1 species
AUUUGCCUUCGGGCAUGUAAUUUUAAGUGAAGAGUUUGAUCCUGGCUCAGAGUGAACGCUGGCG